rnacentral:lncRNA from 1 species
CAUUAUUAUUAACUGUGGAUUUAACCAAAUAUUCUUUAAUUUUUUUUAAAUCGAUUUUCCUCAGAAUACUUCUGACAAUUGGAGUGGUGGACAUGCUGUGUCACAUCCUCCAGUACAGCAACAAGCUCAUUCAUGGUGUUUGACACCACAGAAAUUACAGCACUUGGAACAGCUCCGCGCAAAUAGAAAUAAUUUAAAUCCAGCACAGAAACUGAUGCUGGAACAGCUGGAAAGUCAGUUUGUCUUAAUGCAACAACACCAAAUGAGACCAACAGGAGUUGCACAGGUACGAUCUACUGGAAUUCCUAACGGGCCAACAGCUGACUCAUCACUGCCUACAAACUCAGUCUCUGGCCAGCAGCCACAGCUUGCUCUGACCAGAGUGCCUAGCGUCUCUCAGCCUGGAGUUCGUCCUGCCUGCCCUGGGCAGCCUUUAGCCAAUGGACCCUUUUCUGCAGGCCAUGUUCCCUGUAGCACAUCAAGAACGCUGGGAAGUACAGACACUAUUUUGAUAGGCAAUAAUCAUAUAACAGGAAGUGGAAGUAAUGGAAACGUGCCUUACCUGCAGCGAAACGCACUCACUCUACCUCAUAACCGCACAAACCUGACCAGCAGCGCAGAGGAGCCGUGGAAAAACCAACUAUCUAACUCCACUCAGGUAAUAGGAGA